CACUGCUGUGAGGAUCUCCUCUGGGAACCCAACACUGAAAACCACUAUGUUACCUCUCUGCCCUAAUAAGAUAGAGCUUUGCUGGACUUAGACUAUGAGCAAACUCCAUGACACACCAGUCUGUCCACUUCACCGGCAAACUCCUCAAGACUCUGCCAGCCUUGACUUCACCUUGCAGCCACCAGUAUCUCCAGCCCUCCAAGCAAGAGGUCCAAUGUUUACAGAAUCAGAAGCAUGCCAAGUGAACACAUCAAUCAACGUCACCUUGAGAAAAUUGCCAAAAGCAGUGGAAGAAGAACAAGAGUAGGUUUAGCACUAAGGCCUAGAACACCC